GAUACACGUAUCCCCUCGAAUUGGAGUUUGAGAGACAGCACAUUCCUCAGUGGGGGAGGGGCAGAGGGCAUCCCAAGCAGAUUCCAUGCUCAGCCCUGAACUAACUCAGGGCUCCACGCCACCACCGUGAGAUCAUGACCUGAGCAGCACUCAAGAGUCGGAGCUUAACCGACUGAGCCACCAGGGCGCCAUAUCUCGUUCUGCUUUGAACCACAUUGUUUUUCUGACAGAGUUGUGUCUAGGAAGAAGCCCCUGGAUAGUCUCCUUUGGGAGCUUAUCCCUUCCUUAAAACACCAUGCUUUCUUGAGUGAUUGGACUGUCCUCCCAACUAUUAAGACAAAAGCCGGCUGAGGAAGCUUGAUUGCGAAAUAGCAGCUUAAAUUCAGGCCCCAAUAUUGUGCUUAAAAUGAAGGUCUCACUUUUUGCCAUCUAUUUUUAUGGGAUUCGUAGGCUAUUGUACCUGCAUAGUCCAGGCCCUUAAAGCUGGCCUGCCUUGAUAUGGGUCAGAACAACACGACUGACCGCAUAAAAAGAGAGGGCCCUCUGACUUUUUCUGCAGGUCGUCAAAGGCAACAGGAUGUUCACUGGGAGGUGCACGGGGUACAGCUUGGAGACUCUGAACUAUCAGAGCAACUCCUUCUUCCUUCCCGUCUCUGACAAUGCUCUGUGCUCUGCCCAGAAGGGCUGGAGACGGCAAUGAAGCUCACUGGGGUUCUACUCAUACCUCGAGGGACUGCAUAAAGAUCCACUCCUUUAGAGAAAAAAGAACCCGCCUCCGAUUCCAGGCCCAGAACCAGAAUGAUCAGUCCUGAAGCAACCCGUGCCCUGUAGCAUCUGGACCAUCAGCUCAUUGAGGAAGUAUCAUGUUUGAUACAUAACUCCCACCCCCGACAUUCCAGGAUCAAAUAUUGAAUGGAACUUUAAAGAUGACAUAGGUAACUGAACUGCCUCUGGGGAAGCAUUGUUCCAAUUCGGAGCAGUUUCAAGCAGUUUCCGGGUGAACAAUGAGAUCAGAGCUGUAAGAGCCCACCAGGUUCUCCAGCCUGAUUCUGUCGAGGAAACUGAAGAGCAGGUAAGUAAAUUUAUGUGCCCAAGGUCACUUAGCUAGUUCGCGUUUCCAACCGGAACUCACUUCGGACAUCCCGCAUCCAUGCGGACAGUCCUCCCCUUCGUUCUGCCGUUCCUGCUGGGUAUGGAAGCCCUGCUCCCCAGGAGAUUUAGAACAUUCUUCCCAGGAUGGCACAGCAUCUCCAGACACCCCCGCCCCAGAAAACCGUCCGCCUGCUGCAGCAACUGCCUGCCUGUGUCCUCAGGGCUACACUCCCUGGGACAGGGGUGGUCCCCCACAGUAACGCUGAAGCUGUUCCUGCCACAGCAGCCCUGACCCAGCUGGCAGAGGCCCAUCUGCUCCGAGACCGGCCUCCCUGCCUCCUUCCAGCACCACACGGCGGCUGGACACUGAGGACCUCGCUCCCCUCCCGUGGAAAGACCGAGCACAGCAGAAGACCUUGAACCGACAAGAAAUGCUCCAUCCCUGUUUACCGAGGGCGACUAUCUGCCGGCCGGCAAGCCACCGUGAUUUUCAUCAGGGCGGCCGGAUUUAGGAAAUACAAAUACAGGACGCCCGGUUGCGUUUGCCUUUCAGGUAAACAAAUACUUUUUUUUUUUUUUUUUUUUUUUUUUUUACUAUUCAACUAUGUCCCAUGCAGUACUGGGGGCCUACCUAUACUAAAAUAUUAUUAUGUGGCUGAAAUUCUGAUUCACCGGGGUGACCUGCAGUUUACCUGGCAACCCCAUUUUAACAUUCCACCAAAAUGAACUGAAAAAAAUUUUCCCGUGCAGCACAGGGUCUGCAGUUGCAGCCAGGGUGGAGGAAAGCAAGUACGGCUGCGAUGCAUUUGCCGCAGCAAAGAGGUGAUUAGACGUCUGGUAUGUUCUGCAUUAGGCAUUAAGCACAUGCCACCCGUGCCUACCAAAGUGCCUCCUUCAAAGCCUGGGCAAUGAUUUACAAAGCAGUAAAAAUGGAAAUUCACUCACCCCCAAAUCCAGCCGGGGGGCGGGGGGGGGGGGGGGGGGGGCGGGGAACAUCAAGUCCUGCCUGCAGUUACCAAGGAAAAAGAGAAACAAACUGUGACAAAACCGAAUCACUGCAAAAGUGUUUCCUUGCACAGAAGCAGAGCGCUGAUAACAGGGGGAGUGGAUUAUGUAACAGCUUGCCAUCUCCAAAUGGAGAGCCUUCCUGGGAUCCUUCCGUGUUGGAGGUGCUGCGGCUUGUGGUCACACACACACCCACACACACACACACACACACACACAUUCUCCACCUACUCCCCCACCUCCCGGCUUCAAAAUGCAUCAGCUUUGACUUUGGCUGACUCAGCAGUCUGGAACGAAUUGCUUCCAGUCAACUUUGCGGCUCGCUUAAAAUGCCGUAAGGACUACUUUGACUCAUGCGCAGAAACAGUCUUGUAUUUAUCCUACAAGUCAACGGAAGGCCUCUGAUGGGCAAAAUACUGUGCAAGCCAGUGAGGGAGGAUGGGAUGUGGGGUGUGACGGAGGACGGGGUGGGACAGGACCGACACAGUCCUGUCCUCAGAGAGCUCAGAAUCCAGAGUGAAAGACUCCCAAAGACGUGCUUCCUGCACCAGAAGUACAAACAUGUGCUGUCCAGAAAAUCAGUUCCACAUUUGGGAAGGAAGAGGUGAAGACAAGGGGGUAGGAAUGCGAAGCCAGGGAGGUAGGAAACAUGCAUGCUGGACUCUUGUCCAUUUUAUAAAGUGAUGUAUGCAUGCAGGCAGGAAGAAUCUCAAUGUAUUGUCUAAAGCACAUGUGCGGGGCGCCUGGGUGGCUGGAUCAGUUAAGCAUCCGACUUUGGCUCAGGUCAUGAUCUUGCAGUUCG